CUAAAUACCGCGUCGUGAUUUGUUUGUAGCCUUAUUCAUUAUUCAUGAUUUUACAAAGUUGACAUGGAAAUUCAAGCUGGCUGAUAAUUUAUAUGCUCAAUUCUGAAUACUUUGGUUGUACUAUUGGACAUAUUGUUGUUCCCUUCCUAUAAAAUUUAUUGUGUUCUGUAUUUUAAUAUUUCUGUAUAGGACUCCAGAUGGUGCACCGGAAAAAAAGCUUUAUAAAGAAAAGUUUGAAAAAGUGGCAGCAAAAUUCAAACGUGCUCAACCGAUCGAAGCAGAUGAAGUGAACGACCUCAAGGACAUUUUGAAAAACUAUGAGUAGACAAAAACUAGCCUCUUUCACAAUGUACUUAGGCAUUGUUCAUGACAGAGUUUAUUUUAACGUGCAGUUCUACGCGAAACGUGCAGUUCUAAACCCAUUUGUGCAGUUCUUAAAACACAAAUGUACGUGCAGUCACGAAACAAACAAAAGCAACACACCCUUGCGGAUGCUCCAGAAAAUUCCAGGAAUGCUGUCAUUGCAUGAGCAUCGAAAAUAUAAACGUUUUCUGGGAGAGGGCCCCCAAGACCCUCCUAUUUUCCUCACAAAUCACUCACGUGCUGGGGUAAUGGAAAAGAAGGUAAAAUUAUGGGGCGAGCGAAGAUCUCCAAUAGAAAUUAGAAUGGGAGAACCUAAUAUUCUUUCCUGCCUGAAAUGCAAAUUAAAGGUUAUUAUAUAUUGAAUAUCCCUGAUUCCCAGUUACAUGUUUUGAAACUGUUUUUGUGAGUGGUUGAGUAAAACAAAUCUUUGCCAGAACUUAUAAGAGCCUCUAGGUUCAAAUUAUUUUGGGGAACACUCCCCUCCCCCACUCCCGCACCCAAUUACACCAUUAUUCUGUCACUUAUAUGCAGGUAAAAAAUCCUUUGACACCCCCCCCCCAGUCAAACAUCCGUUGGUUUUGCAACAUCCCUAUAUGUGCAAUUCUAAAUUUUUCUUGAAAUAAACCCUGGUUCAUGAUAUGAAAAUUAGAGAUUUCUCAAUUACAUCUUGUGUGGCUCGCAUACGGGUGUAUUCUUGAAAUUUAAGCUUUGAAUUUUGUACGAAAUAAUGGAACUUGUAUUUUUUUUUAAAAAGUAAAAACAUACAUAU